GGAUGCGAUCAUACCAGCACUAAAGCACCGGAUCCCAUCAGAACUCCGAAGUUAAGCGUGCUUGGGCGAGAGUAGUACUAGGAUCGGUGACCUCCUGGGAAGUCCUCGUGUUACAUUCC
rnacentral:rRNA from 1 species